CAAUUUUAAUGUAAAUUUAAAUGCUAUUCUUCAGAGGUACAGCUCUGAAGAAUAAGGCUACAACCUUAAUUAGAGAGUAACUUCUACAACAACCAUAGUUGGCCUAAAAGCAGCCAUCAAUUAAGAAAGCGUUCAAGCUCAACAUACCUACAAAAAACUUAAUUACAAACAUUAUAUUGAACUCCUAAUUAGAUCACUGGGUUAUUCUACAUAAUUUGUAGACGAAAUACUGUUAAUAUGAGUAACAAGAUUUUAGAUCUCCAAACACAAGUGUAUAUCAGCCCAAAUACUUACUGAUAUUUAACAAUUAAAUAAACUCAUUCAUUUAAUUAAUAAUUUUUUUAUCACAUUGUUAAUCCAACACCGGUGUGUACAUAAGGAAAGAUUAAAAAAAGUAAAAGGAACUCGGCAAACACAAACCCCGCCUGUUUACCAAAAACAUCACCUCUAGCAUUACCAGUAUUAGAGGCACUGCCUGCCCAGUGACAUCAGUUAAACGGCCGCGGUAUCCUGACCGUGCAAAGGUAGCAUAAUCAUUUGUUCCUUAAUUAGGGACUUGUAUGAAUGGCCACACGAGGGUUUAACUGUCUCUUACUUUUUAUCAGUGAAAUUGACCUCCCCGUGAAGAGGCGGGGAUAUAACAAUAAGACGAGAAGACCCUAUGGAGCUUAAAUUGACCUGCCCAACAAACCUAAAAGCAACCCGACAGGAAUAAUAUCAUUUUAACUGGGCAACAAAUUUUGGUUGGGGUGACCUCGGAGUAUAACUCAACCUCCGAGUGUUCUAAACUAAGACCUACAUGUCAAAGUGACAACACUUAUUGAUCCAAUCUUAUUGAUCAACGGACCAAGUUACCCUAGGGAUAACAGCGCAAUCCCAUUUAAGAGUUCAUAUCGCCAAUGGGGUUUACGACCUCGAUGUUGGAUCAGGACACCCAAAUGGUGCAGCAGCUAUUAAAGGUUCGUUU
rnacentral:rRNA from 1 species